CUGAGCCAGUUCACAAUGCCAAGGACUGAUAACAAGAAGACUCUUUCCUACAUCUCAGUGGCUGUGACUGUAACGCCUCCAGGAACAGUUUCCAGGCUGUACCUCCACAUGGAUUAUGUUUGCCCCAAGAUGAUGGCUGAGGACACCAGGGCCAGAAGCACCGCCUUUCCCAAGGCUCUUAGAUUCAGGAUCCUGAGCUGUCUCUGUCAGGGACUGACGGUAGGCAGACAAACCAUCACAUUUACCAGAUGUUCACAGGAAAUAGAAUGAUAUUCUAGGUGUUUGGGAGAACCUGAUAAAAAGACAGAUGUGAUCAGUGUCUGAAGAGAGGUGUCAAUGCAACAAACUGCAGAAGAAUAUAAGGACUUCAAUUCAUCUUUACUUCAGGGAAGGUUGAAAACUUUUAGACACACAUAUAACUGUAAUAGGG
rnacentral:lncRNA from 1 species